rnacentral:rRNA from 1 species
GACGAACGCUGGCGGCGUGCCUAAUACAUGCAAGUCGAGCGCAGGAAGCUGACGGAACUCUUCGGAGGGAAGGCAGCGGAAUGAGCGGCGGACGGGUGAGUAACACGUAAGGAACCUGCCUCAAGGAUUGGGAUAACUCCGAGAAAUCGGAGCUAAUACCGGAUAGUUCAACGGACCGCAUGGUCCGCUGAUGAAAGGCGCUCCGGCGUCACCUUGAGAUGGCCUUGCGGUGCAUUAGCUAGUUGGUGGGGUAACGGCCCACCAAGGCGACGAUGCAUAGCCGACCUGAGAGGGUGAUCGGCCACACUGGGACUGAGACACGGCCCAGACCCCUACGGGAGGCAGCAGUAGGGAAUCUUCCACAAUGGACGAAAGUCUGAUGGAGCAACGCCGCGUGAGUGAUGAAGGUUUUCGGAUCGUAAAACUCUGUUGUAAGGGAAGAACACGUACGAGAGGAAAUGCUCGUACCUUGACGGUACCUUACGAGAAAGCCACGGCUAACUACGUGCCAGCCGCCGCAGUAA